rnacentral:rRNA from 1 species
GACGAACGCUGGCGGCGUGCUUAACACAUGCAAGUCGAACGGAAAGGCCCCGUUGGGGGUACUCGUGUGGCGAACGGGGGAGUAACACGUGAGUAACCUUCCCUUGUCUUCGGGAUAACUUCCGGAAAAUGGGGCUAAUUCCGGAUAGGAAUCCUUGCGGCAUGGUGGGGGUUGGAAAGCUUCGGCGGUUUUGGAUGGACUGGCGGCUGAUCAGCUUGUUGGUGGGGUAGUGGCUUACCAAGGCUUUGACGGGUAGCCGGCCAGAGAGGGCGAGCGGCCACAUUGGGACUGAGAUACGGCCCAGACGCCGACGGGUGGCAGCAGGGGGGAAUAUUGAACAAGGGGCGGAGGCUGGAUGCAGCAACGCCGCGGGCGGGAUAGCGGCCUUCGUGUUGUAGACCGCUUGCAGCAGGGGCGAAGCUUGUGGUGACGGUACCUGCAGAAUAAGCACCGGCUAACUACGUG